rnacentral:tRNA from 1 species
UGGCUCAGACGGUAAAGCGUCUGCUUGCAAUGCAGGAGACCCAGGUUCGAUUCCUGG